rnacentral:rRNA from 1 species
UACGUAGGUGGCGAGCGUUGUCCGGAAUUAUUGGGCGUAAAGGGUGCGUAGGCGGCUCUUUAAGUGGGAUGUGAAAUCCCUGGGCUCAACCCAGGAACUGCAUUCCAAACUGGAGAGCUAGAGUGCAGGAGAGGAAAGCGGAAUUCCCAGUGUAGCGGUGAAAUGCGUAGAGAUUGGGAGGAACACCAGUGGCGAAGGCGGCUUUCUGGACUGUAACUGACGCUGAGGAACGAAAGCGUGGGGAGCAAACAGG